rnacentral:tRNA from 1 species
UCGGGUGUAGCUCAGUGGUGGAGCCCUUGCCUGAUAUGCAUGAGACCCUGGGUUUGGUUCCCAGCACUGGGA